AUCCCCCAAACAACAAAUCAUUCUCUUCAUCAUCACACACUCUCUCUCGCUCUUAACUUUUCUUCUCCUCCCCCUAAAAGAAAGGCGAAAGUCUUGGGGGAUAAAAAGAUAAGAGAGGGACAGAGAGGAAACUACACAAAUAAGGAGAAAAAAGAACUCCUAACAAUCAAGAAAGGGAGCUUUUCUAUUGUGGGGAAUGUUGUCUGGCUCGAGGAAUCUUUAAUCUUGAUCAAAUUCUUUACACAGAUCUAGUAUUAUAUAUGUUGUAUAUAUUUUUAGAUCUUAUAUAGAUCUAUAAUUGCUAGUUGUUAGAUCUAUGAAUUUGGUCAUAUAUUUUUGCGUCGUCGGACCAGGCUUCAUUCCCCUCAAAGAUUGCUGCCAUAUAUUAGUAUCGCGAUUAAGAUCUUUUUUGGUAUAUAAAUAAGAUUUAUCGUCAACUCGAAGGCACAUGUAACAACUGAUUGAUCUAUUGAUUAAUCUUGUAUUCAUUCACAGUUAAUCGUUUCCACUAUCAGUAUAAAUUAACUUGUUUUUAAAAUGCUACACUUGUCCUAUUUUGCAGGUUUUUAGUAUUACCGUUGACAAUGGGUAGCUUUAAAUACUUUUAGUAACUUGAUAAUGCAAAAGAUUAUUAUACUUUCAAUGCAAAGAAGUUAACCCUGUGAACACUACUUCUAGCGGUUGUAUAUGGAAAAGUAUACAACCUACUUGCUAGAGUAUUUUCUUUUUUUUUUUUUUGGUUGUGCAAACAGGACUAGGUUUAAUUAUUCCUAUAGCUCUUAGGUUUGAGUUGAGAAAACAAGACAAUGAAAAACAUCUGACUAGAAAUGAAGUAAAUGAAUGAUAUAAAAAGGUGAGGUAGACAUCCUGCUGAGAAAAGAGAUAAGCUAUGUAAACCUAUAGGAGAUAUGACAACAAUUAAGUGUAGGCUUUCCACUACCCUCCUGCAUUUUAAGAAAAACCAAAACAAAGUUCAUUAAGAAUCUAGAAAACCUAGAUUUCUGAAGUAGUAAUAACUUAGUUCCAUUUAAAUCAUUAAUGAUUAAUGUUUCAAGAAAUUAUGCAGUCAUUUGGUUAAUUGGUGUUUAUCACAAUAUUUGAAAGAAAGAACAUUGCCGGUUCUUCAUGCUCUUUCAGCAACGCCCAAAAGGUAUUGAUGGCCUUUGAACCGAUCAAAAUGGCAGUUCGGUGCACGAAGUAUCCGCGUUCACGCAGGGUUCAGGGAAGAGUCGCACUUUAAGGGGUGUGAUGUAGGUGACCUAUCCUAAUGCAAAAUUUCACGACCUUUGAACGGAUGGUGAUCAAGAAAUUGUUAGAAAAUGACAGAUAAGAGAAAGACUUGGUGAUUUUGAAUCUUUUUGACUUUACAAGCUUGAAAGUGGGAAUGUUAGCUUUUGUGUUACUAGUUUUUUACACACAUACACACUCACAAAGAAAGUUAGCUCGAUUUUGAUGCAUGAAUGGUCCAUUCGUUGACUAUUUACUACAUUGUCUGAUGCAUUAGAGAAAAGCUUUGAGAGUAUAACAUAUAAACUGUGCCUCUACCCAUUACUUGCAGCAUAAAGAAAUACUGAUAAUAUCUUACUUUUA